GUAACUACGAGUGGUCGACAUACCUCUGAACUAGUAUCAUUACUCCAACAACAACAGCAAAAGCAAGAUAUCAAGCAAGACUUCUUCUUACGGGGUGGCUUAACCACCAUGGGAAAGGUUUUAUAAUCCAUAAGGACCGUUUCUUACACUGUUUUAAACUAUGUUUGAUCAUGUUGGAUACACAUUUAUACAAGAGACGAUUUGUUCUCGCGCGCGUUCUGUACACAGCCACAUCUUAACCACAACUGAGACACUUGAGAUGGUAAUGAAUGGUAAUGAAUGAGAAUAAAUUAUAAACAGCCUACACAGUACUUAAAGGCUUAAUGUGUGCAUAACAACACUGCAAUACCAAGAUGAGCAGGCAAUUGUCA